rnacentral:rRNA from 1 species
CCUACGGGUGGCUGCAGUGGGGAAUUUUGGACAAUGGGCGCAAGCCUGAUCCAGCAAUGCCGCGUGCAGGAAGAAGGCCUUCGGGUUGUAAACUGCUUUUGUCAGGGAAGAAAUCCUCUGGGUUAAUACCUCGGGGGGAUGACGGUACCUGAAGAAUAAGCACCGGCUAACUACGUGCCAGCAGCCGCGGUAAUACGUAGGGUGCGAGCGUUAAUCGGAAUUACUGGGCGUAAAGCGUGCGCAGGCGGUUGUGCAAGACAGGUGUGAAAUCCCCGGGCUUAACCUGGGAACUGCACUUGUGACUGCACAGCUAGAGUACGGUAGAGGGGGAUGGAAUUCCGCGUGUAGCAGUGAAAUGCGUAGAUAUGCGGAGGAACACCGAUGGCGAAGGCAAUCCCCUGGACCUGUACUGACGCUCAUGCACGAAAGCGUGGGGAGCAAACAGGAUUAGAUACCCCAGUAGUC